rnacentral:miRNA from 1 species
AAGAUCAAAAGAUCGCAGCCUUCGGCAGCUCCUACAUUGGAUUUGUGUAGGAGCUGCCGAAGGCUGCGAUCUUUUGAUCUG